rnacentral:lncRNA from 1 species
UUUCUUAUGAUUUCAGUUGGAGUUGUGUAUGCAGACACUAGCACAAAGAAACUCCAUAGCUAAAGAUCGUGUCCGAGCGUUGACAAUGACCGCAAGACAAACACCGGUUGAGAUAUGGCGGUCUAGAAAUGAUCAUUAAUUUCAAGAUUGGAAUGGAAUAUGGUAAAGAACACAACAUGAAUAUGGUGAUAAACAGAUUGCUAUAGAACCAAAAACUAUGGGAGCUUGGGGGUUGUGCAGAAUAAGGGGAAUGUAUGAGAUUGUCAAAUGCUACAUCAACAAAAUGGUUGAAAGUGCAGUUGGUUAUUCUAAAUGCCGU